GUUAUUAUUUUUCCUCCGCUUUAAACUGGAAAAUGGCCCACUUCCCACUGGCGAAAACUCAGGAAAUUUGGCAGGACGACCGGGCCUGGUGAAAAAUUCGAUAUUCUGAAGUCGCCCAAAAAAUCAAAUGCAAAAUGGCUCCAUAGCGCCCCCUAAGGUGAAAAUUCACAUGACGGCUGUACGCUUUGUCAUAUUGACACAAAAAUUGACACACACGUGUAUCUCAAUAAGAUCUACAAAAAAGUCAGUGCGGGCGUAUCUGUCAAAUGUACGGUUAAUGGGUUAUUUUUCAUUUUUUGCAGAUCUGCACACAUUGGAAUUUCGCUAACUCCUCCGAAGGCUUUCGUUCGACCGGCACCACAUUUGCGCAGGCCAAUCUACACCCCAUGGCCAUUAAAAGUUGUACAAAUCAUGACGCUGCACCCCACGGUUUAUGUUCUAGGGGGCGCCAAAGAUAACCCAAAAAUCCACAUUCUUAAAAGUGUUAUAACUUUUUACUUUUGUCCUCACUGGCCUCCAAGUUUUCUAGGAUGAUGCAAUGUCCAGCCAUCAACACAUUUGUGAAGGAAUUUUUACUCCCUAAAAGAGCGCCCCCCCAUGGCAGGAGAAAAAAGUCCAUUUUUUCUUGUCUCCAAAGGUCAAAAUACACAUUGUCGAGUGUCACGCCUGUAUGCUUUGUCAUAUUGACACAAAAUUUGACAAUCACGUGUAUCUCAAUAAGAUCUACGAAAAAGUCAAAGGGCAUGUAUCUGUCAAAUGUACGGUUAAAGGGCUAUUUUGCAUUUUUUGCUGAUCCGCACACAUUGGCAGGAAGAACAGCAAACGCCGAUGAAGGAAAGAGUCUUUGCAGUGAUGGGCGUUACCAGAGAGGGCGAUGGCCAGAGGACGCGAAUGGGACGGGGAGGCAGCGCGUUGGGGGGGGCAGCGCGACACGGCUCGGGCCCGCCAGUGCCCCAACGGGGCCCUAGUUAGGGCCCGAGCGUAGCUGCUAAGCAGCUGCGAGAGCCCUCUUGUUCCUGCAUGUUUCCUUCUUUCGUUAUUAUUUUUCCUCCGCUUUAAACUGGAAAAUGGCCCACUUCCCACUGGCGAAAACUCAGGAUAUUUGGCAGGACGACCGGGCCUGGUGAAAAAUUCGAUAUUCUGAAGUCGCCCAAACAAUAAUAUGCAAAAUGGCUCCAUAGCGCCCCCUAAGGUGAAAAUUCACAUGACGGCUGUACGCUUUGUCAUAUUGACACAAAAAUUGACACACACAUGUAUCUCCAUAAGAUCUACAAAAAAGUCAGUGCGGGCGUAUCUGUCAAAUGUACGGUUAAUGGGUUAUUUUGCAUUUUUUGCAGAUCUGCACACAUUGGAAUUUCGCUAACUCCUCCGAAGGCUUUCGUUCGACCGGCACCACAUUUGCGCAGGCCAAUCUACCCCCCAUGGCCAUUAAAAGUUGUACAAAUCAUGACGCUGCACCCCACGGUUUAUGUUCUAGGGGGCGCCAAAGAUAACCCAAAAAUCCACAUUCUUAAAAGUGUUAUAACUUUUUACUUUUGUCCUCACUGGCCUCCAAGUUUUCUAGGAUGAUGCAAUGUCCAGCCAUCAACACAUUUGUGAAGGAAUUUUUACUCCCUAAAAGAGCGCCCCCCCAUGGCAGGAGAAAAAAGUCCAUUUUUUCUUGUCUCCAAAGGUCAAAAUACACAUUGUCGAGUGUCACGCCUGUAUGCUUUGUCAUAUUGACACAAAAUUUGACAAUCACGUGUAUCUCAAUAAGAUCUACGAAAAAGUCAAAGGGCAUGUAUCUGUCAAAUGUACGGUUAAAGGGCUAUUUUGCAUUUUUUGCUGAUCCGCACACAUUGGAAUUUCACUAACUCCUCCGAAGGCUAUCUUUCCACCGGCACCAAAUUUGCUCAGGCCAAUCUACACCCCAUGGCCAUUAAAAGUUGUACAAAUCAUCUUGCUGCACCCCACGGUUUGGGUUCUAGGGGGCACCAAAUAUAACCCAAAAAUCCACAUUCUUAAAAGUGUUAUAACUUUUUAUUUUUUUCCAUACUGGCCUCCAAGUUUUUUAGGAUGAUGCAAUGUCCAGCCAUCAACACAUUUGUAUCUGUAUAAUGUACGGUUAAAGGGCUAUUUUGCAUUUUUUGCCGAUUCGCACACAUUGGAAUGUGGCUAUCUCCUCCUAAGGCUUUCGUCCCACCGAUACCAAAUUUGCUCAGGGCAAUCUACACCCCAUGCCCAUUCAAAGUUGUAAAAAUCAUGACGCUGCACCCCACGGUUUACGUUCUAGUGGGCGCCAAAGAUGACCCAAAAAUCCACAUUCUUAAAAGUCAUUUUGGCCACUGCAGGAGUACAGAGUACUGCAGUUCUAGGGGGCGCCAAAGAUGACCCAAAAAUCCACAUUCUUAAAAGUCUUUUUGGCCACUGCAGGAGUACAGAGUACUGCAGGAUACACACACAUAUACACACACGCCAACAUACACACACACACACACACACACACACUCAGAGUCUGUUUUUAAGCACCUGCAAAAACAUGCUGUUUACAUAUUUGACAAGAAUGCAGAGGCUUCCUUUUGCCCCUGAAAAAAAUCAAAUUUCAAACACAACUUGACUGUUCAUUUCUCCAAAAGACAACCAUGAAGCUCCAUUUCAAACCUGAAGCAGAUAGUUGGUGCAUGUGUACAGUAACCUGAGGGGAGUGAGGUGACUAUUUCUGAGGAGAACAUAAGCAGUGAAGAUUCACCUUGGAGCUAGAACAGGGACGUGCACAUGAUUAUACAGGGGCAGGGGCUCAAGUUUUUUCCAGUCAUUUAUACAAUAUGGAAAUUAAUGUGAAAUUAAACCACAAAUAUGUGUGAUGAACUGUUUUUAAAACUUAAACUUCAAAUAAAAAUUGUAAACUUCAAAACAUAUGCAAAUUUUUAACAAAGAACAUAGUAAUUUACCUCUAUUUACAUCAAAAUGCAGGCAAUGGCCCAGGCGUUCUUUGUAAAAUUAUUUACAAAACACUGUAUAGUCUCACAAAUGUCACUUUUUAUUUAUGCCACUACAAAAAAACAUGAUGUAAAUGAUGCAUGAUGUAAAACAUGAUGUAAAAAACUUGUGUAGAUCCUCCUCUAUGUUAGUCCAUGUGUAAUUUUUCCAUAAUUCUUUGUUUUUUGCAGCAUUUUUGUUAGUGUAACUGCAGAUUGUGCUGACAGUGUCUAUGGCAAAAAAAAAAAAAAACUGAAAAUGCCUCAACAUGAACCCCUGGUGGUCUCUGAGGGUGAAACCUGCUAACUGCUGCAGCUCUGUCAGCUUUAGUCUCCCAUGCAGAGCUCGGAGCGCAUGUGUGGCUCUGCACCCUUAGCAGCGUUGCUAACUCCUCAGUAAGGAAAGCCUGCUUCAUGUCAGAGUCUCUAAACUCCAGAAGAAGUCGAUAAAAGUCCCUUUCUUUCUAAAAAAAGUCGUUAGGGGGUCUGAAAAGUCAUUGAAUCUAACAACAAAGUCGCUAGGUUUGCAACUACGUGUCCCAGACUGCAUCCCUGCUGAGAGUUCCUCCCUCCCUUCUCAUGUUGCAGGAAGAACGUAAGCGCCCGCCCCUUGUCAAUCAGUCACCAUAUAAUUUUGGAUUGGUUGUUGUGGUGAAGUUUUCCACCAAUAGGAGAGAUGUUGUGGUGUGUUUUUUUUUUCUUUUGGCAAGCCUUUUCCGCCUGUAAGACCUGUCGCUAAUGUCUGCAUGCUAUGUUUUCCUGUCUCAUACAGCGCGAUCGAGCGCCGAACGUGAUCAAAAUAAGCAGAAAAAAAGUAUCGCGGACAUAAUUUAUCAUAACUCUGGUUUUAUUUGGCCUAUCAACACAAUUUGAAAACUGGUGUAUAGUUUGAGGUCCUCACUUUUGAGAUAAGUUGAAACGGAGAGUCAACGAGGCUCCGUCUUGCUGCUACAUCCGGUUAAAUAUGUAAUGUGACUUGAACGCUGGGGAGCGUCAAUCGACUGCAGAGCCAGCAGACAAAGUAGUUGUGGCCACUGAAAGGCACAUAUUUGUCAUAUGCUAUAAUCCUAACAUAUUUUAAUGCUUUUUCUAUUUAAACCUAAUGGAUCUAAGGUUUGACCUUCAAAAUUUAGGAAGAAUAUGUUUUUGCAGUAAUGACCCCGUUAAACAACCAGAGGUCCUUUCCUAAAGUUUAUGGAAAUUUUAGUGAAGGCCUUGGUUUCUUUCCUUGCAAAAUGUAUAGAAAUAAUAAAGCUAAAUUCCAUAAAAAGGUCUUGGCGUAUUAGCAGUGAUAUAAAAUAGUGGUUUGAAUAUGAAUGAACAACAACAAAAAAAAAACAUCAACAGAGCCUUUUUGAGUUGGGAUUCUUUCAUUAUCACACAAAAACAGACAUAGACAGACAUCUAAAGGGUAAGGGAAUGAUCAGCCCUCCUAACUCUCAGAUGAAUCUUCAAAAUUCACCUCAGAAAUAUGCUUAUUAUUCUUCUCAGAGUACUGCAGGAUAUACACACACACACUCAGAGUCUUUUUUUUUAGCACCUGCAAAAACAUGCUAUUUACAUAUUUGACUAGAAUGCAGAGGCCCCUUUUUGCCCCUGAAAAAAAUCAAAUUUCAAACACAACUUGACUGCUCAUUUCUCCAAAAGACAACCAUGAAGCUCCAUCCAAACCUGAAGCAGGCAGUUGGUGCAUGUGUACAGUCACCUGAGGAAAGUGAGGUGACUACUUCUGAGGAGAACAUGAGCAGUGAAGAUUCACCUUGGAGCUAGAACAGGGACGUGCACAUGAUUAUACAGGGGCAGGGGCUCAAGUUUUUUCCAGUCAUUUAUACAAUAUUGAAAUUAAUGUGAAAUUAAAAAACAAGUAUUAAUAGAAAGGUUAUGACUGUCCUGUGUAGAUGACAGUGAUAUCCAAUAGGCUAGGCACUCACGAGGCUGGCUGUGGCAAGUGUAAGUGAAAGCAACACGCACUGGCAGGAAGAACAGCAAACGCCGAUGAAGGAAAGAGUCUUUGCAGUGAUGGGCGUUACCAGAGAGGGCGAUGGCCAGAGGACGCGAAUGGGACGGGGAGGCAGCGCGUUGGGGGGGGCAGCGCGACACGGCUCGGGCCCGCCAGUGCCCCAACGGGGCCCUAGUUAGGGCCCGAGCGUAGCUGCUAAGCAGCUGCGAGAGCCCUCUUGUUCCUGCAUGUUUCCUUCUUUCGUUAGGGCCCGAGCGUAGCUGCUAAGCAGCUGCGAGAGCCCUCUUGUUCCUGAUGGAUUCUUCUUUUGUUAUUAUUAUUAUUAUUUUUCCUCCGCUUUAAACUGGAAAAUGGCCCACUUCCCACUGGCGAAAACUCAUGAAAUUUGGCAGGACGACCGGGCCUGGUGAAAAAUUCGAUAUUCUGAAGUCGCCCAAACAAUAAAAUGCAAAAUGGCUCCAUAGCGCCCCCUAAGGUGGAAAUUCACACUAUUGACUGUCACAUCUGUACGUUUUGUCAUAUUGACACAAAAAUUGACACACAUAUGUAUCUCAAUAAGAUCUACAAAAAAGUCAGUGCGGGCGUAUCUGUCAAAUGUACGGUUAAAGGGUUAUUUCGCAUUUUUUGCCGAUCCGCACACAUUGGAAUUUCGCUAACUCCUCCGAAGGCUUUCGUUCCACCGGCACCACAUUUGCUCAGGCCAGUCUACACCCCAUGGCCAUUCAAAGUUGUACAAAUCAUGACGCUGCACCCCACGGUUUAGGUUCUAGGGGGCGCCAAAGAUAACCCAAAAAUCCACAUUCUUAAAAGUCUUAUAACUUUUUAUUUUUGUCCUCACUGCCCUCCAAGUUUUCUAGGAUGAUGCAAUGUCCAGCCAUCAACACAUUUGUGAAGUAAUUUUUACUCCCCAAAAGAGCGCCCCCCCAUGGCAGGAGAAAAAAGUCAAUUUUUUCUUGUCCCCUUACAUGAAAAUACACAUUGUUGAGUGUCACGCCUGAACGCUUUGUCAUAUUGACACAAAAAUUGACAAUCAUGUGUAUCUCAAUUAGAUCUACGAAAAAGUCAAAGAGCGCGUAUCUGUAUAAUGUACGGUUAAAGGGCUAUUUCGCAUUUUUUGCCGAUUCGCACACAUUGGAAUGUGGCUAUCUCCUCCUAAGGCUUUCGUCCCACUGAUACCAAAUUUGCUCAGGGCAAUCUACACCCCAUGCCCAUUCAAAGUUGUAAAAAUCAUGACGCUGCACCCCACGGUUUACGUUCUAGGGGGCGCCAAAGAUGACCCAAAAAUCCACAUUCUUAAAAGUCAUUUUGGCCACUGCAGGAGUACAGAGUACUGCAGUUCUAGGGGGCGCCAAAGAUGACCCAAAAAUCCACAUUCUUAAAAGUCAUUUUGGCCACUGCAGGAGUACAGAGUACUGCAGUUCUAGGGGGCGCCAAAGAUGACCCAAAAAUCCACAUUCUUUAAAAGUCUUUUUGGCCACUGCAGGAGUACAGAGUACUGCAGGAUACACACACAUAUACACACACGCCAACACACACACACACACACACUCAGAGUCUGUUUUUUAGCACCUGCAAAAACAUGCUGUUUACAUAUUUGACAAGAAUGCAGAGGCUUCCUUUUGCCCCUGAUAAAAAUCAAAUUUCAAACACAACUUGACUGUUCAUUUCUCCAAAAGACAACCAUGAAGCUCCAUUUCAAACCUGAAGCAGAUAGUUGGUGCAUGUGUACAGUAACCUGAGGGGAGUGAGGUGACUAUUUCUGAGGAGAACAUGAGCAGUGAAGAUUCACCUUGGAGCUAGAACAGGGACGUGCACAUGAUUAUACAGGGGCAGGGGCUCAAGUUUUUUCCAGUCAUUUAUACAAUAUGGAAAUUAAUGUGAAAUUAAAAAACAAAGUAUUAAUAGAAAGGUUAUGACUGUCCUGUGUAGAUGACAGUGAUAUCCAAUAGGCUAGGCACUCACGAGGCUGGCUGUGGCAAGUGUAAGUGAAAGCAACACGCACUGGCAGGAAGAACAGCAAACGCCGAUGAAGGAAAGGGUCUUUGCAGUGAUGGGCGUUACCAGAGAGGACGAUGGCCAGAGGACGCGAAUGGGACGGGGAGGCAGCGCGUUGGGGGGGGCAGCGCGACACGGCUCGGGCCCGCCAGUGCCCCAACGGGGCCCUAGUUAUUAUUUUUCCUCCGCUUUAAACUGGAAAAUGGCCCACUUCCCACUGGCGAAAACUCAGGAUAUUUGGCAGGACGACCGGGCCUGGUGAAAAAUUCGAUAUUCUGAAGUCGCCCAAACAAUAAUAUGCAAAAUGGCUCCAUAGCGCCCCCUAAGGUGAAAAUUCACAUGACGGCUGUACGCUUUGUCAUAUUGACACAAAAAUUGACACACACAUGUAUCUCCAUAAGAUCUACAAAAAAGUCAGUGCGGGCGUAUCUGUCAAAUGUACGGUUAAUGGGUUAUUUUGCAUUUUUUGCAGAUCUGCACACAUUGGAAUUUCGCUAACUCCUCCGAAGGCUUUCGUUCGACCGGCACCACAUUUGCGCAGGCCAAUCUACCCCCCAUGGCCAUUAAAAGUUGUACAAAUCAUGACGCUGCACCCCACGGUUUAGGUUCUAGGGGGCGCCAAAGAUAACCCAAAAAUCCACAUUCUUAAAAGUCUUAUAACUUUUUACUUUUGUCCUCACUGGCCUCCAAGUUUUCUAGGAUGAUGCAAUGUCCAGCCAUCAACACAUUUGUGAAGGAAUUUUUACUCCCCUAAAGAGCGCCCCCCAAUGGCAGGAGAAAAAGGUCCAUUUUUUCUUGUCUCCUAAGGUGAAAAUACACAUUGUCGAGUGUCACGCCUGUAUGCUUUGUCAUAUUGACACAAAAUUUGACAAUCACGUGUAUCUCAAUAAGAUCUACGAAAAAGUCAAAGGGCAUGUAUCUGUCAAAUGUACGGUUAAAGGGCUAGUUUGAAUUUUUUGCCGAUCCGCACACAUUGGAAUUUCGCUAACUCCUCCGAAGGCUAUCUUUCCACCGGCACCAAAUUUGCUCAGGCCAAUCUACACCCCAUGGCCAUUAAAAGUUGUACAAAUCAUCUUGCUGCACCACACGGUUUGGGUUCUAGGGGGCACCAAAUAUAACCCAAAAAUCCACAUUCUUAAAAGUCUUAUAACUUUUUAUUUUUUUCCAUACUGGCCUCCAAGUUUUUUGGGAUGAUGCAAUGUCCAGCCAUCAACACAUUUGUGAAGAAAUUUUUACUCCCCAAAAGAGCGCCCCCCAUGGCAGGAGAAAAAAGUCCAUUUUUUCUUAUCCCGAAAGGUGAAAAUACACGUUGUUGAGUGUCACGCCUUUACGCUUUGUCAUAUUGACAAAAAAUUUGACAAUCACGUGUAUCUCAAUAAGAUCUAUGAAAAAGUCAAUGGGCACGUAAGUGUAAAAUGUACAGUUAAAGGGCUAUUUUGCAUUUUUUGGCGAUUCGCACACAUUGGAAUGUGGCUAAGUCCUCCUAAGGCUUUCGUCCCACUGACACCAAAUUUGCUCAGGCCAAUCUACACUCCAUGGCCAUUCAAAGUUGUAAAAAUCAUGACGCUGCACCCCACGGUUUACGUUUUAGGGGGCGCCAAAGAUGACCCAAAUAUACAUUACAGUAGACAAAGUAGUUUUGCCCACUGAGUGGCGCCAAAGGGACUUGUCUAUGGAGUCUGUGAGUCACUAUUGGCCGUUUUUGACUACUUUAGAUUUUACCUUUAUAUUUCCUCUUACAAAAUUUUUACCUUGCCUUGCCUGGUAUCAUUUUUUUCAGCACAACCUCACCUGUGUCAAUUUACAGUUAUUUUAUCAUUUUGACAUACUAUAUUUACACAUUUGACCCAAAUUCACACACAAAACAUAAAAUCCGAGUGGAAAAAAGUAACGUUUUUACUGUGAAAACCACAAAUAUGUGUGAUGAACUGUUUUUAAAACUUAAACUUCAAAUAAAAAUUGUAAACUUCAAAACAUAUGCAAAUUUUUAACAAAGAACAUAGUAAUUUACCUCUAUUUACAUCAAAAUGCAGGCAAUGGCCCAGGCGUUCUUUGUAAAAUUAUUUACAAAACACUGUAUAGUCUCACAAAUGUCAUUUUUUAUUUAUGCCACUACAAAAAAACAUGAUGUAAAUGAUGCAUGAUGUAAAACAUGAUGUAAAAAACUUGUGUAGAUCCUCCUCUAUGUUAGUCCAUGUGUAAUUUUUCCAUAAUUCUUUGUUUUUUGCAGCAUUUUUGUUAGUGUAACUGCAGAUUGUGCUGACAGUGUCUAUGGCAAAAAAAAAAAAAAAACUGAAAAUGCCUCAACAUGAACCCCUGGUGGUCUCUGAGGGUGAAACCUGCUAACUGCUGCAGCUCUGUCAGCUUCAGUCUCCCAUGCAGAGCUCGGAGCGCAUGUGUGGCUCUGCACCCUUAGCAGCGUUGCUAACUCCUCAGUAAGGAAAGCCUGCUUCAUGUCAGAGUCUCUAAACUCCAGAAGAAGUCGAUAAAAGUCCCUUUCUUUCUAAAAAAAGUCGUUAGGGGGUCUGAAAAGUCAUUGAAUCUAACAACAAAGUCGCUAGGUUUGCAACUACGUGUCCCAGACUGCAUCCCUGCUGAGAGUCCCUCCCUCCCUUCUCAUAUUGCAGGAAGAACGUAAGCGCCAGCCCCUUGUCAAUCAGUCACCAUAUAAUUUUGGAUUGGUUGUUGUGGUGAAGUUUUCCACCAAUAGGAGAGAUGUUGUGGUGUGUUUUUUUUUUCCUUUGGCAAGCCUUUUCCGCCUGUAAGACCUGUCGCUAAUGUCUGCAUGCUAUGUUUUCCUGUCUCAUACAGCGCGAUCGAGCGCCGAACGUGAUCAAAAUGAGCAGAAAACAAGUAUCGCGGACAUAAUUGAUCAUAACUCUGGUUUUAUUUGGCCUAUCAACACAAUUUAAAAACUGGUAUAUAGGUUGAGGUCCUCACUUUUGAGAUAAGUUGAAACGGAGAGUCAACGAGGCUCCGUCUUGCAGCUACAUCCGGUUAAAUAUGUCAUGUGACUUGAACGCACACACAGACACACACGCACACACACACACACACACACACACACACACACACUCAGAGUCUGGUUUUUAGCACCUGCAAAAACAUGCUAUUUACAUAUUUGACAAGAAUGCAGAGGCUCCUUUUGCCCCUGAAAAAAAAAUCAAAUUUCAAACACAACUUGACUGGUCAUUUCUCCAAAAGACAACCAUGAAGCUCCAUCCAAACCUGAAGCAGGCAGUUGGUGCAUGUGUACAGUAACCUGAGGGGAGUGAGGUGAGUGCUUCUGAGGAGAACAUGAGCAGUGAAGAUUCACCUUGGAGCUAGAACAGAGACAUGCACAUGAUUAUACAGGGGCAGGGGCUCAAGUUUUUUCCAGUUGUUUAUACAAUAUGGGAAUUAAUGUGAAAUUAAAACACAAAGUAUUAAUAGAAAGGUAAUGACUGUCCUGUGUAGGUGACAGUGAUAUCCAAUAGGCUAGGCACUCACGAGGCUGGCUGUGGCAAGUGUAAGUGAAAGCAACACGCACUGGCAGGAAGAACAGCAAACGCCGAUGAAGGAAAAGGGUCUUUGCAGUGAUGGGCGUUACCAGAGAGGGCGAUGGCCAGAGGACACAAAUGGGACGGGGAGGCAGCACGUUGGGGGGGGGGACGCGACACGGCUCGGGCCCGCCAGUGCCCCAACGGGGUCCUAGUUUCUUCUUCUUCUUCUUCUUAUUAUUUUUCUGCCCCUUUGAACUGGAAAAUGGCCCCCUUUCCACUGGUGAAAACUCAUGAAAUUUGGCAGGACGACCGUGCCUGGUGAAAAAUUCGAUAUUCUGAAGUCACCCAAACAAUCAAAUGCAAAAUGGCUCCAUAGCGCCCCCUAAGGUGAAAAAUUCACAUGAUUGAGUGUCACGCCUGUACGCUUUGUCAAAAUGACACAAAAUUUGACACAC